AGAUUUGGCUAAAGGGGAAGUCGGGCAUCCAUCUCGCUUCCCUCCCUACCCUUCAAUUCCCUUCCCGACGCCGAGGGUUGAUACUGUGGGCCGCUGCCCCUUUAAGGGCCGCCACUCCCCGCACCCCCCACCCCGCCCCAGUGGUGGCACUAAGUGGGGGGGGGGGGGGGGGGGGAGGGACUGGGUAGGCUAAGUUUUCUCUCUCAGUCAACUAGGGAAGAUGGCCCAGGCCCGGGAGAUCGCUCCCACGCCCCGCUGUCCCCUCCCCUGAGUCGCAGGAGCUGGGAGCUCCUUUCCCUCUUUCGCUCCCGCUCGGUGCACGACGUGGGAAUGGCUCCGCGGCCAGACGGGAACGGCUCCCUGCCCUCGUGGCCAUAUGUCGCCACCCUGGCACCCAGUACUGCCAACACGAGUGGGCUCUCAGGGGUGCCGUGGGCAGUGGCAUUGGCGGGGGCGCUGUUGACUCUGGCCGUGCUGGCCACCGUGGGAGGCAACCUGUUGGUUAUCGUGGCCAUCGCCCGGACACCGCGACUCCAGACCAUGACCAACGUGUUCGUAACUUCUCUGGCCUCGGCGGACCUGGUGGUAGGACUCCUGGUAGUGCCGCCGGGGGCCACCUUGGGGCUGACUGGCCACUGGCCCCUGGGCGCCACUUGUUGCGAGCUGUGGACUUCGGUGGACGUGCUGUGCGUUACCGCCAGCAUCGAAACCUUGUGCGCCCUGGCGGUAGACCGAUACCUGGCGGUGACCAACCCACUGCGCUACCGCGCGCUGGUCACUAAACGCCGAGCCCGGGCAGCCGUUGUCUUCGUGUGGGUCGUGUCCGCCGCCGUGUCCUUUGCGCCCAUCAUGAGCAAAUGGUGGCGCGCAGGGGCCGACGCCGAGGCGCAGCGCUGCCACUCCAACCCGCGCUGCUGCUCCUUCGCCUCCAACAUGCCCUACGCGCUGCUUUCCUCCUCCGUCUCCUUCUAUCUUCCGCUGCUUGUGAUGCUCUUCGUCUACGCGCGAGUUUUCGUCGUGGCUACGCGCCAGCUGCGCUUGCUGCGUCGGGAGCUGGGCCGCUUCCCGCCAGAGGAGUCUCCGCCGGCUGCGCCUCGAUCUCCGUCCCCAGCCCCUGCGGGGCCCUGCUCUUCGCCCGCAGCGGCGUCCUCCGGCGAUCGCAGGCCGGCGCGCCUCCUGUCUCUCCGGGAACACCGGGCCCUGCGCACCUUGGGUCUUAUCAUGGGUACCUUCACUCUUUGCUGGUUGCCCUUCUUUGUGUCCAACGUAGUGCGCGCCCUCGGGGGCCCCUCUCUGGUUCCCAAUCGGGCUUUCCUCGCCCUUAACUGGCUAGGCUAUGCCAACUCCGCCUUCAACCCUUUCAUCUACUGCCGCAGCCCCGACUUUCGCCGCGCCUUCCGCCGCCUGCUGUGCGGCUGCCGGCCAGAGGAGCACCCCGCCGCUGUCUCCGCUUCUCGCACCCCUGCGGCCCUGACCAGCUCCGCGGAGUCCAGGCAGUUCCCACGGCUCGACAGGACUGAAACGGAGGAGGGCGAGCGGGUUGUUCUCCACCCCAGCGUCCCGUGUGCGCGCCCGGAAAGUGCUGCUGCGCCCGAGGCCUCUGGCCCGCCUGGUCAGUCAAGUUUCGAGUUUCUACCUUAGUUCUGUGGUCACCCGGAUCCCUGGCCACCUUUUGGGCUGGCUUUGGGCUCGCAGAGACCACUGGAGCCCCUCCCAAGUCCUUGGCCUCAGUUCUGGUUUCUUUGAAAGGUCUGGUAGCUCUGAAGGGCUUCCUGGGGGAUUUCUUAGGCCUUGAAGGACAAGGAACCACAGCUCCGUUGAUCCAGAACCCUUGGAAAGCUCUGGCCUCUCUCUGUUUAGAAUGAGCCCCGCAGAGCUUCCCAGCUGGAAAACUCUGCCCUCCAGAGCCUGAUGACUGGGCCACCUGAAGGGGAGGUGGGAGCCGAGGGGGAGGGGAGCCCUUACCAAGCAGGUUUUUACCAUCCCCUCUCUUUCUUUCUGGGAGAGGUUUCCUAAACCCCCUCCCUGAACUUCACGGAUACCUCAGCAGCUGGAGAGUCCAGCUGCCUGCGCUCAGCUGCACUCUUGGAGCAGCGGGGCUAGCUUUGGCCGGCACCUUGCUCACUGGUGUGCAUGUGCUUAGGGCAGGGAGAGCACCCCUCAUUCUAUUCCUUCCCGCGAACCCCCAGACCUGAUGGACCAGUCAGUGUUCUCUGGGCUCGGCAGCCCAGGCUGAGAGCAGGAAGCUAAAAAAAGUCAAGGUUUGGGAGUUGCGUCCCUGGCUUCCUCACCACAGUUCUCCAAGCACCAGCCUCACUUUAGACACGGAACGGCUCUGAUCUACCUCACGACAGUGUCAGAAGGGCUUCUUCGGGGCCUGGGGGACUCCGAGGUUCACAGGAAGGCGAACCAUUAGAAUGGAUCCCUUCUUUGCUUUUAAAAAUCAACUUAAUAAAUAUUACUGAAUGCAGUUCAUCCAUGCCCUGUUUUUUCUCCAUUUGUUUUCUUUUCAUAAUCCACUUACUCCCUUUUUAGAGCUGGCUUUUAACAGAGGCAAUACAUUAGGACUAAUCCUUG